GUGUCAGCCGCCGCGGUAAUACGUAGGGGGCAAGCGUUGUCCGGAUUUAUUGGGCGUAAAGCGCACGCAGGCGGUCUUCUAAGUUUCGAGUGACAGGUGGUGGCUUAACUACCACAGGCCUUGGAAAACUGGAAGACUUGAGGACGAGAGAGGGACGCGGAAUUCCAGGUGGAGCGGUGAAAUGCGUAGAGAUCUGGAAGAACACCAAAGGCGAAGGCAGCGUUCUGGCUCGUAACUGACGCUCAUGUGCGAAAGCCAGGGGAGCGAACGGGAUUAGAUACCCCGGUAGUCCUGGCCGUAAACGAUGACCACUAGACGUAGGAGGUAUCGACCCCUUCUGUGUCGCAGCUAACGCAUUAAGUGGUCCGCCUGGGGAGUACGGUCGCAAGAUUAAA
rnacentral:rRNA from 1 species